GGAUCGCGAAAACUUCAUCCGUGAGUCAUGUAUUUCCUAAUGCUAGAUGUAUGACAGAUUGCUGCCUGGCAUUAUACCAUACAACAGAGCUCAAGUAGAGAGAGGGCAUGAAAACAUAAGUAGAACUAUUGUGCUCAAGCAAAUAAGCAAAUUAUCAAAAUAAUACAAUCAUCCUUGUUUGGUUGCCAUCUUUCCAUCUACUUGACCCUUAUAAUCUCUUUUGUAGUCUAGGCCUUUGAGAACUUCUUGUGUGUUUACCAUUUCACUGGAUGUAUCAUUUUGUACAUUAGGCUUAAUAAGAAGCCUUGAAGAAAUCUUUCAUAUCAAGGUUUAAAAUCUCGAUCCGCUACUGAUUUCUACACCGUGUAGGAUUGGGAUGGUACCCAAUACGUUGUUCAAUAUACCAACUUGUACCACCUUGUAUGACUACAACACAACAUCAACAAAGCUGUAAUUUCCAACUAAAAUAUUAUUAGACCGGGGGCUGUCUGAACUCUGAAUACAAGUCGAUCCUCAAAUUGAUCUCUUCAGGAUAUGAUAAAAAUUCAACAACAAUAGUGAAAACAGAGAAAUAUACAAUUAUAAUGCUAGAUCUAAACCAAAUAGAACCAAGCUUAGCGCUAAAGUGUCUCAAUUCAGUUCUAACUAAUACUUGAUUCUUGUAUGAAUAAUAGUUAUAACCAAGGUUCGCAAUACCGUACCGUACCGGUAUUUUGACUUGGGCUCGGUACCGGUACGGUACGGUAUACUGAGCGGUACACCCAGGUGUACCGAGCGGUACACCUGGGUGUAUCGAGUACUGAAGCACUGCUACAGUGCUACAGUAACUGCUACGCUACAGUGCUCGGACCGGUAACAGUCGAUCCGCGUACCGAAAACCUAUCGGACCGGUACGUACCGCCCGUACCGGGCGGUACGACUCAGUACGGCAACCCCUGGUUAUAACCAAGGUAUCAAACACCACCAGUACCAGUUGGUAUGGUCUGGAGUUUAUCAGUCCAACAGUCAAUUAGGACAUGAGCAAAGCAAUUUCGUCCGGUUCAGUCUGAUAUGGCCUGUACUGCUCAGUAAGUUUUACCGAGCGUAAAUAGCUUUGUGUAGGUCAAUACCGAGCGGCAAGCCUCCCACCAGUACAUGUAAUUUUUUCUAAAUUUUUACUAGUUGUAUUGACAGGCCAGCUGUAUCAUUUUUCCUUUUUCCCAGAUCCCCCCAUCAUGCUAUCUCGUUCUCUUUUUCUCAUGCAUUCUCUCCAUCCCCCUCCUCCAAUUGCCACCUCUUCCUCUUUCUCACCAUGUCGCCACAAACACCUCCACCCUGCCGCAUCACCACUGUCUCCUCUUCCUCUUCCACCCCUUGUUCCACCAAUUCUCCUCUUUUCCUCUUUUGCCUUCUCCUCCACUGAUUAUCUGCUUCCUUCUCCUCCUCUCUCCUCCUGAAUGUUGGUACAUCAGGCUGUAUUGAAACCAUCUCCUCUUCCUCUUCCAUCCCUUGUUCCACCAAUUCUCCUCUUUUCCUCUUUUGCCUUCUCCUCCACUGAUUAUCCUCUUCCUUCUCCUCCUCCUCUCUCCUCCUGAAUGUUGGUACAUCAGGCUGUAUCGAAACCAUACCAGUCAGGCCACCAACUGGUAUGGACACCCAAAUGAGACUUUAAGCCUUUGGACGUGACAAAGCAAACCAUCUAAAAUUUUCACUAUGAUUUAUACUCCAUACCUGUAAUAAGUAUAAACUUUAAUACAAAAAUGUCCUGUAAAACAUACUAAAGAAUCUUAUUAUUAAUGUUGCAGAACAAAUUUUAUAUCUGACAGGCCCCUCCGAAUGACACACAGGUUGCUGUAAAGUUGAUUCUUCUACUACUUUCAUUGAAUACAUUCCCUUGAGGUUUAAAGCAUGGACAAAAUCUACCAGACAGCACAUCAUUAUAACCAUCAUAACUGAUACAUUUCAAGCAGUAACACGAGUUGGUUAUUUGCAAGUGGUCUUACAUAAAAUAAGAAGAAACUAACAUAAAGACUUUAGAGUAAGCAUUUAUAAUGCACAAACUAAGGUCAUAAGAUGGCUGUUAUCUACUUCAAGAAAACAACAAGGCCAUAAACAAAAUUUGAUUGCAAAUGAUUCCAGAUGAUAACCACAUUGCAAAGGAUCUGUUGAGCAAUGAGAAGCAUAAAAAAAAGGAAAUGGUAGAGAUGAUAUUUUAAGGCAACAUCUGGGAAAAUUAGGAAAGCAAAGGUGGAUGUGUAACAACAUAAUCACCAGAUACAUGAAUCAAACAAAGAAGAUAUAUAAUUGACAAAGAUCAAUCGGCAGGUACAAAUUGCAAACAAUACCGUAGGAGGGUAAGAAUCAGGCAGAGCUGCAUAAGUUACAUGUUUAGAGGUAAUAGGAUUGAGUCUGCUAACAAAAAUGAUGCCAUACCCUUUAGGGGAAUAAUGAAGAUUAACAUAG
rnacentral:lncRNA from 1 species